rnacentral:rRNA from 1 species
GACGAACGCUGGCGGCGUGCUUAACACAUGCAAGUCGAACGGAAAGGCCCUGCUUUUGUGGGGUGCUCGAGUGGCGAACGGGUGAGUAACACGUGAGUAACCUGCCCUUGACUUUGGGAUAACUUCAGGAAACUGGGGCUAAUACCGGAUAGGAGCUCCUGCUGCAUGGUGGGGGUUGGAAAGUUUCGGCGGUUGGGGAUGGACUCGCGGCUUAUCAGCUUGUUGGUGGGGUAGUGGCUUACCAAGGCUUUGACGGGUAGCCGGCCUGAGAGGGUGACCGGCCACAUUGGGACUGGGAUACGGCCCAGGCUCCUACGGGAGGCAGCAGUGGGGAAUAUUGCACAAUGGGCGGAAGCCUGAUGCAACGACGCCGCGUGGGGGAUGACGGCCUUCGGGUUGUAAACUCCUUUCGACAGGGACGAAGCUUUUUGUGACGGUACCUGUAUAAGAAGCACCGGCUAACUACGUG